AUACGGAGGAUCCGAGCGUUAUCCGGAUUUAUUGGGUUUAAAGGGAGCGUAGGCGGGAGAUCAAGUCAGCUGUGAAAUGUAGACGCUCAACGUCUGCACUGCAGUUGAAACUGGUUUUCUUGAGUGCGUAAGGGGCAGGCGGAAUUUGUCGUGUAGCGGUGAAAUGCAUAGAUAUCACACAGAACACCGAUUGCGAAGGCAUCUCACAAAUCCGUGAUUGACGCUGAGGCACGAAAGUGUGGGGAUCAAACAGGAUUAGAUACCCUGGUAGUCCACACUGUAAACGAUGAUGACUCGCUGUCGGCGAUAUACAGUCGGUGGCCAAGCGAAAGCGAUAAGUCAUCCACCUGGGGAGUACGACCGCAAGGUUGAAACUCAAAUGAAUUGACGGGG
rnacentral:rRNA from 1 species